rnacentral:sRNA from 1 species
ACUUAUUUUAAUAAGUCUAGGUGGCAAGCUCUCAUGUGCUGAUGUGUCAAGUUGUGGGAGAGAGUUGAGCUCCUUUCAUAUAUAUAAUUUACGUUAUAUUUUGCCUCUUAAGUUUUGUAGUGACCAUCAUAAUUUCUCUUUUGAUGUCUUUGUGGGCAAAUGAGGUAAUCUAGAAAGAAAUUACAUGGAUGAAGAUGAUAUAGAACAUACGAGAUCUGAUGAAUGACAGA